rnacentral:rRNA from 1 species
AAACGCUUGAAGUCAGUCGCGUUAGUUGAGACUCAGCCUUGCUUCUGCUUGGUGCAUUUCUUAGCUGACGGGUCAACAUCAAUUUUGAUCGUUGGAAAAAGGCCAGGGGAAUGUGGCACCUUCGGGUGUGUUAUAGCCCUUGGUUGUAUACAACGGUUGGGAUUGAGGACCGCAGUGCGCCUUUAUGGUCGGGGUUCGCCCUCGUUCGCACUUAGGAUGUUGGCAUAAUGGCUUUAAGCGA